rnacentral:lncRNA from 1 species
CAAACAUGGCUGUUCCUUCCAGAAAUGAAGGGAAAGUCUUCUAGUAGGAAGGACAUUAUGACUUUAUAUAACAUAAUCAUGCAUUAUAAUCCUUUGCCACAUUGUACUGGUAAGACAUAAGUCCCAGAUCCCACCUACACUUAAGGCAGGUGGUAACACAGGGUGGAGAUACCACAGAAUCACUUCAGGGACUGUUGAUCACAAGGAUCAAGCAGAAAAUUGUCCAGAAAUAAACAGGUCAUUUUUCUUCUCUUUUUCUUUUUUGUCUUUUUAGGGCUGCCCCUGCAGCAUAUGGAAGUUCCCAGGCUAGAGGCUGAAUCGGAGCUGCAGCUGCUGGCCUAUACCACAGACACAGCAAUGCUAAAUCCAAGCUUUGUUUGCGACCUACACCACAGCUCACAGGCAAUGCUGGAUCUUUAACCCAUGGAUCGAGUCCAGGGAUCAAACCCACAUCCUCAUGGAUGCUAGUUGUGUUCCUUACCGCUGCGCCACCAUGGGAAUUCCAGCAAGACCAUGGGAUGUUGAACUAAGUGGGGAGUGGGUGGUGAGGUUUUCAGAGAGAAUCUAGUGACUGGAGGGGAGCAGACCCAUUUGGGGGAGGGUUCACUACAAUGUAGCUGAGCAGUUUGAUAGACCUGAGGCCAUGCUUGGGGGAAGAAUAAUGAACACAUUAUAGAAAUCCUAGCAGGGAAGUGGCAGAGCCAAGUCCUAGCCAAGCCGCUUGACCCUGGGGACUGUAUUCUCCACCACCAACCGCUAGGGCCUCUGAUGUACCUGGGUUCUCAGCUAAAUGUAUGCCCCACAUUGUGAAAUGGUUCUCUGGUAUAGCCAGCACCCAAAGUCAAAACAAAAAAAUGGAAGUGCUGCUUUAUAAUCCAACUUCCCUGGAUUAUAAUUCUUCUUUUCUAAGAGGAUGGCCCUCAGAAUAGCUUUGAUUAUCUCUUAACGAUUUCUAAAGAAGGGCAGUCUAUGUAGUUAAAAAUAACUGAAUAUCUGGAGAAUUCCUUCAGGCCUCUUCUGCUUGGGGUUUUAGGAUAUAAAGUAGUUCUGUUAGAGCAAUGUUUUAACAGCUGCAUCAGCAUGUCCCUGGACAGAAGGGAUACGUAUAAAACACAUCACUUCUCAGGCUUUUUUCCUCCUUUAUUCCUCUACCUCUUCAGGAUAAAACCAUUGUGAGGCUUUUAAAAGUAACAUGGGAUGAGGGCCAGGGGAGAAGCUUAAAUAAAUCUAAUCAAGACUUAUUGUCUGCUAACUUCAAAGGGAAGCCAAGGAUGAGGGACAUGUGUGAAGAUUCAGCAGACACAGGAGGCUUUAACAAAUGACAGUUUGCUUGAGUACGUAGCAUUUCUAAGUGUUAGAGCAUCUCAUAAAGCCAGAAGAAUCCUGGGGGGAAAAAUAGAUACUACCAGAAUCCAAAGAGGCUCAGGUAUGUUAGUUGUUAUCAAAUCAGGUCGAUAGAUUAUCUGAAAACUCUGUGUGAAGUGUUUGAUAUUCAAAACAUUGAUCUGAUUAUGUCUUUGUUGGUUUGAACCAAUCCAUUGCUGUCUCACUACUGUUCAUUUCCAAUAAAUCAACAGGUUGCGAGGUUUGGGGGGAAGGACCAAAUACAGAACAGAAGGGGAAAGCCAUAGCAGUGAAUGUGUAUCUGAAUUUUAGUGCAGCUGUUUGCUAUUUAAUCUCCCUUUGAGUCAGAAUCAGCAUCUCUGGACGCUAGAACCAUUAACCCCAGGGGCCUCAAGCCCUUUACGUGUGCACAUAAUGAGACCCAGGAGGGUAAAUUGCCUUGUCUUGGCCAUGGGUUCCGGUGGCUGCAAAGCCAGAGCAUGGGCCCAGGUCCUUAAUGCUUUGUCCAUUGUGUCAAGGCCCUUAGUUCCCAGUCUGGUUCAUGUAUA